rnacentral:rRNA from 1 species
CAAACCAAAGCUGGCGACCGGCGCACGGGUGAGUAACACGUAUCCAACCUGCCCCAUACUCGGGGAUAGCCUUUCGAAAGAAAGAUUAAUAUCCGAUAGCAUAUAUUUCCCGCAUGGGUUUUAUAUUAAAGAAAUUCGGUAUGAGAUGGGGAUGCGUUCCAUUAGUUUGUUGGGGGGUAACGGCCCACCAAGACUACGAUGGAUAGGGGUUCUGAGAGGAAGGUCCCCCACAUUGGAACUGAGACACGGUCCAA